rnacentral:rRNA from 1 species
UACGGGGGGGGCAAGCGUUGUUCGGAAUUACUGGGCGUAAAGGGCGCGUAGGCGGUUCGCUAAGUUGGAUGUGAAAACUCUGGGCUCAACCCAGAGCCUGCAUCCAAAACUGGCGGGCUAGAGUUCUGGAGGGGGUAGCGGAAUUCCUGGUGUAGCGGUGAAAUGCGUAGAUAUCAGGAGGAACACCGGUGGCGAAGGCGGCAUCCUGGACCGGUAUUGACGCUGAUGCGCGAAAGCCAGGGGAGCAAACGGG